UGAAUCUGGAGGUAAAUCAGGACUGUGUUGCUUCAUCUGGACAGCUGUAUAUAUGUCCUUGGCCUAGGCUCUUGCCAGAGCACAAAGGAAGUAAAGUCCAACUCUACUGUAUGUUUUACUGUAUGCUGUUCUUUCUUACUUUGAGUUCUACCUUCACAGAAUCACAAAAUCGAAGGGGUUGGAAGGAACCUCUGGAGAUCACCAAGUCCAACCCCCUUGCUAAAGUAGUUUCCCACAGUAGGUCACACAGGAAAGCUUCCAGAUGGAUCAUGAUUAUCUCCAGAAGAGGAGACUCCACACCUCUCUGAGCAGCCUGUUCCAGUUCUCUGCCACCUUCAAGGUAAAGGCGUUUUUUCUCAUGUUCAUACCUUAUCUGAGUUUCUUUUCUUUAAUUAUUAUUUUUGGUAAUUAUUUCAGGCACAUCUCUGAAGUUUUAGAGGCUCUUGACUAUAUUUUCCAGUUUUCUUAAGGCUAAUGCUCACUUGACCGAAAGAAGGCUAAGAAGAAAGGAGAAAGAAGGCUUCACACCAGAAUUCUGCCUAUCACAGCCAUUCCCCUAAGUUUAAGUAGGGGUUUUCUGGUCCUUUUCUUCGUGCUCAUCUGGAAGAGUGGAGAAGUUGUAUCUGCAACGAUAGUCUGCUUCUGUUGCAAGAAAUAAUAUGUGGUGGGUGGAAAAUUGAGCCAUUGUUCCCCACAUAAUGUGGGUUGCUGAUACUCUAGACAACCUGCAGGGAAUCUUUUUCUGUAAUGAAAAACACUGGUGACGUCAAUGACGCAAAUAAAACUGGACUUACAGAUUGGCCAUGCUCUGAUAGAUCUUCUGCUUCUUUGAAGUAAAAGGGAUUUUUACCACUGACCUCAGUGAGGGCCUGGAUACUUUUAAAAAUGCUCCUUUUUCACAUGGCUUCAUUUGCUCCAUCUAAAACUGCAAAAGUGCUGAACUGCAUGGAGUUCCUUGCCUAUUAAAUAUAUAAAGAUGUUUUCUUUGGCUAAGAAAUUCUUGUUUUUACUUCUGUGCUUUCAUAUACUUUCAAAGACAGUUGGGUCUGGCCUG
rnacentral:lncRNA from 1 species